UACGAAGGGGGGCUAGCGUUGUUCGGAAUCACUGGGCGUAAAGCGCACGUAGGCGGAUCUUUAAGUCAGGGGUGAAAUCCCGGGGCUCAACCUCGGAACUGCCUUUGAUACUGGGGAUCUCGAGUCCGGGAGAGGUGAGUGGAACUGCGAGUGUAGAGGUGAAAUUCGUAGAUAUUCGCAAGAACACCAGUGGCGAAGGCGGCUUACUGGUCCGGUUCUGACGCUGAGGCGCGAAAGCGUGGGGAGCAAACAGG
rnacentral:rRNA from 1 species